UGGACCUGAUAUCAAACAAGACUACCCGCUGAACUUAAGCAUAUCAAUAAGCGGAGGAAA
rnacentral:rRNA from 1 species